CCUACGGGUGGCUGCAGUGAGGAAUAUUGGUCAAUGGGCGCAAGCCUGAACCAGCCAUCCCGCGUGCAGGAAGACGGCGCUAUGCGUUGUAAACUGCUUUUCCAGGGAGAGAAACUUGCGCACGUGUUGCGCAAUUGACGGUACCCUGGGAAUAAGCAUCGGCUAACUCCGUGCCAGCAGCCGCGGUAAUACGGAGGAUGCGAGCUUUAUCCGGAUUCAUUGGGUUUAAGGGGUCUGUUAGCGGACUAUUGAAAUCCUGCAGCUUAACUGCAGAACUGCCAUUGAUACUGAUAGCCUUGAGUUUGGUUAAGGUAGGCGGAAUGUGUAAUGUAGCGGUGAAAUGCUUAGAUAUUACACAGAACACCAAUUGCGUAGGCAGCUUACUGAGCCGACACUGACGCUGAGGCACGAAAGCGUGGGGAUCGAACAGGAUUAGAUACCCCAGUAGUC
rnacentral:rRNA from 1 species